rnacentral:lncRNA from 1 species
CCCAAGGUCUCAGUGAAGAUAAAGGAAACAUAAAAGCAUCACCGUGGAUCCUAUCACAGCACUGUUGAAAGACCUAUCACUGCCUGCCACUAGAGAGCCAAAGUUUCAUCUUGUCAAGAGUUCAAAUGCCUUGGGAUUUUCCAUUCUUCUUAUCUGUCAUUGUGAAGACAUGCACCCAUUCAUUAUUCCUCCAGCAUAAAAACAAGACAAAGUUUCUGCAGAGCUGCUCUAACCCAAUAAUAAAAUUGGACAAUAAGCUGCAUAUCUGCCGGAAACCUGGGACUGGCAAUGGAGAUGAGAAGAGAAUCAGAAGGCCACUAGAGCAGUUUAAUUGCCCCAAGGUGGCCAUGCUGUGAGGAAGUCCAAGAGCCCAUAUGGAGAGAAGACCUGGAGAAGUCUCAAGACCACAUGAAGGAAGAGAGUUACCCAGCCAGCCCUAAACGCUGGCUGCAACUGCAACCACUGUCUGACUGUAAUUCCACAAAAUACCCACAAUCAGAACAUCUUCUCAUAUUUCUGACUCACAGAAACCACAAGAGAUAAGAAAAUGAAUACUGUCAUUUUAUGUUACUAAAUUUUGGGAUGGUUGGUUAAACAGCAAUAGACGACCUAAACAUUGUUUGUUUAAAAAGUUUUUCUAAAAUUUUUCAUAUAUAACUUCUGUGUAAUUUAUAUUCCAUUGGCCAGAAUUUAGUCACAUAGCCAUACCCAGCUGCAAAGGAGUCUGGGAAAAGUGGUCUUUAUUCUACAAGGCCAUGUGCUCAGCUAAAAUCUUAUUACUGUGGGGAAAAGGGACUACAGAUAUUAUGAGACAACUAGUGGUCUUCCACAGCUAGAAAAGUACCUCUUUUAAAAACCAGAAAUGUAUGAGUACAAAAUGCUAAUUUAGAAAAAAAAACAAUUAUUUAAAUAUCACCUAAUAUGCAUCUAAAUCUGUAUCAGUUAUUUAUUUCUAAUCAUCUUGUUUGUUGCGGGAAGUCAGGGACCCUGAACAGAAGGACUGGCUGGAGCCAAGGCAGAAGAACAUAAAUUGUGAAGAUUUUAUGGACAUUUAUCAGUUCCCAAAAUUAAUACUUUUAUAAUUUCUUACGCCUCUCUUUACUGCAAUCUCUGAACAUAAAUUGUGAAACUAAUUUCUUAUGCUUGUCUUUAAUCUCUUAAUCCUGUUGUCUUCAUAAGCUGAGAAUGUACGUCACCUCAGGACAAUCACCUCAGGACAACUAUUAUACAAAUUGGUCGUAGAACAUGCGUGUUUGAACAAUAUGAAAUCUGAUUGUAAAACAUAUGUAUUUGAACAAUAUGAAAUCAGUGCACCCUGAAAAAGAACAGAAUAACAGCAAUUUUCAGGGAACAAGGGAAGAUAACCAUAAGGUCUGACUGCCUGCGGGGUCAGGCAGAAUACAGCCAUAUUUCUCUUCUUGCAGAAAGCUUGUAGACAGAUGUGUGAGUAGAAGAAAUAUCGUUGAAUUCUUUCCCCAGCAAGGAAUAACCCUGAGGAAAGAAUGCAUUCCUGGGGGUAGGUCUAUAGAUGGCCGCUCUGGAAGUGUCUGUCUUAUGCGAUUGAGAUAAGGACUGAAAUAUGCCCUGGGCUCCUGCAGUACCCUCAGGCUUACUAGGAUUGGGAAAUUCCAGCCUGGUAAAUUCUAGUCCCCGGUUCCCUGCUCUUGAACCCUCUUUCCUAUUAAGAUGUUUAUCAAGACAAUGCGUGCACAGCAGGACGUAGACCUUCAUCAGUAAUUCUAAUUUUGCCUUUGCCUUGUGAUCUGUAUUGCCCUUUGAAGCAUGUGAUCCUCGUGACCUACUCCCUGUUCGUACACCCCCUCCCCUUUUAAAACUCCUAAUAAAAACUUGCUGGUUUUGUGGCUCAGAGUCACCAUCAUGGUCCUACCAAUAUGUAAUGACACCCCCAGAGGCCCAGCUGUAAAAUUUCUCUCUUUGUACUCUUUCUCUUUAUUUCUCAGACUGGCUGACACUUAGGGAAAAUAGAAAGUACCUACAUUGAAAUAUUGGGGGCUGGUUCCCCUGAUACUUGUUUAGUUAAAAUUUAAAUUGGUUUAAAGGAGUAGAUUUUUAAAAGGCAAAUUAGAAGGAGUAACUUCAGGUUCGAGAUAGGGAACUCCGCCCAAGCACCUACUAUCCAAACCUCCCAAACGUUCCAAAUUCUCUGUUGGUGCGAUGAUAAAAAUGCAAAGUAGGGACAGAUCUGUAUUUACUGGAAGCCACAGAUGCUCAAUAGCAAAUUUCUCAAAUGUUUGGAUAUGUAUGUACUAUAUAGUGGCAGUCAUGAUAGGAUUGAUUUUGGACCAAUCUGUGCAUCUCCAUAUGCAAAGGAAAAGCUCCUUAUAGGAAUAAAAGAAAAAGACCAUUUCUUCCAACCCUAGAACAAAAGCACUAACUAAUGUUUCCAAGCUGGGAGCGGCAGGGUUUGAUAUUGUGAAAUACAUGUUUGGCUUUGUCUCCAUUUUCUGAUAUAUAUCUCCAAAAAUCCUUGGAACCUCUGGAGUAAUAAGAGUGUCUUUUGCAUGCAAAUGAGAUGACUGAUGGCUGGCAACCCCUAGGUAACUUCAGGAUGGAGGUUAGUCACCAGAAAGCCCAAGGUGAGGUUAGAGAGUUGGAAUUUUUAGCUCUAUCCACCCAACUUCUGGGAGAGGAGAGGGGCUGAAGGUUGAGUUAAUCACCAAUGGCCAAUAAUCCAAUCAAUCAGGCCUACACAGUAAAGCUUCUGUUAAAACUCAAAGAAGGUUGGGCACGGUGGCUCACAUCUGUAAUCCCAGCACUUUGGGAGGCUGAGGUGGGUGGAUCACAAGGUCAGGAGGUCGAGACCAGCUUACCCAACAUGGUGAAAACCCAUCUCUACUAAGAAUACAAAAAUUAGCCAGGCAUGGUGGUGCAUGCCUGUAUCCCAACUACUCGGAAGGCUGAGGCAGAAGAAUUGCUUGAACCCAGGAGGUGGAGGUUGCAGUGAGCCAAGAUUGUGCCACUACACUCCAGCCUGGGUGACUGAGCAAGAUGCUCUCUUGGAAAAAAAAAUCAAAGAAACAGGAUUUAGAGAGCUUCUGGAUAGCUGAACAUGUGGAGGUUCCUGGAGAGUGGUGUGUCUAAAGAGGGUAUGGGAGCUCUGCCACCCUCCUCCAUGCCUCAACCUAUGCAUCUCUUCAUCUGUAUCCUUGUAAUAUCCUUUGUAAGAACCUGGUAAAUAUAAGUGUUUCCCUGAGUUCAGUGAGCCACUCUAGCAAAUUAAUCAAACGCUAGGAGGGAGUCAUAGAAACUCCCUUUUAUAGCCAGUCACCAAAGUUGAAGGCCACAACCCGUGCUUGUAACUGACAUCUGAAGUGGGGGACAGUCUUGUGGGGUUGAGCCCACAACCUGUGGGGUCUGAAGCUAUCUCCUCCCAGCAGAAAGUGUCAGAAUUGAACUGAGCAAGAGGACACCCAGCUGGUGCCCACUAGAGAAUCAGCUGCAGAUCUGCUGGAGACUUGAUUGACUAUUGGUGGGGAGAAAUCCCCACACAUUUUAGUGACCAGAAGUUGUUGUACUCAGAGGAGAAAAUAGAUUGUUUCCCCUUUAUCAUCAGACAGGAUCUGGAGAUGAAGACAGGUGGAAGGACAGCCGAUGGGGGCAAAUCUCUCUCUGCCUCUAGAACUGCACCAGGUCCCCACACUCAGAGCAUCUGGUCACUGCGCUGACUUCCAGAUUAAAUUCUCAUGUAAUAUAAAGACGAAGCUUCCAAAGUCAGUUCCUAAUGAGAGUCUUCAUGCCAGUCAGUGAGAGAAGCAGUAUCCCCACAACUUGUUCUGCAGCAGAACAUGAAAAGAAAAUGCUUUGCCAUGUUCCUAUAGUCAUGGAGAGAGGCUGCAUCUGGGUGAAGCCCCCUCUCGACCACCCCCUUGGCCAGCCCUCUCAAAAUUUGGGCAAAAUUGGCAUUUUCCUUCUCC